UUUGCAGAACACUCCAUACAGAUCAUUCCACCACAUUGCAGGACAGCUACGGGGGAUCAGUUGACCCCCACCUUUUUUCUUUUCACAGAAAUUUUAGUUUCUGCUGUGUUAGUUUAAGAUCCUCUUUCUGAUAAGAAACUGUCUUGCUUCUUGGUCUUUGUGGUUUUCGCUCAAAUUAUGUGACACCCACAGCUGCCAGAUGUCUGACAAUAAAAUUCUGCACUCAUUCAUAUGAGCAAGGGGAUUCGCUGCAAACCAUU